GCCAGGUGUGGUGGUGGGCGCCUGUAGUCCCAGCUACUCGGGAGGCUGAGGCAGGAGAAUGGCCUGAACCCAGGAGGUGGAGCUUGCAGUGAGCUGAGAUCAGGCCACUACACUCCAGCCUGGGUUACAGAGCAAGACUGUCUCAAAAAAAAAAAAAAAAAAGUAAUAAUAAAUAAAAAUAAAAAAUACUGAGUAGUUCACUAUUUUUUUUUUUUUUUUUUUUGAGACGGAGUUUCGCUCUGUCACCCAGGCUGGAGUGCAGUGGCGUGAUCUCGGCUCACUGCAAGCUCCACCUCCUGGGUUCAGGCCAUUCUCCUGCCUCAG
rnacentral:SRP_RNA from 2 species